UACGUAGGUGGCGAGCGUUGUCCGGAUUUACUGGGCGUAAAGAGCGCGCAGGCGGUCGUACAAGUCGCGUGUGAAAGCCCCUGGCUCAACUGGGGAGGGUCACGCGAUACUGUUCGACUCGAAGGCAGGAGAGGGAUGCGGAAUUCCAGGUGUAGCGGUGAAAUGCGUAGAUAUCUGGAGGAACACCGGUGGCGAAGGCGGCAUCCUGGACCGGCAUUGACGCUGAGGCGCGAAAGCCAGGGGAGCAAACGGG
rnacentral:rRNA from 1 species